rnacentral:lncRNA from 1 species
UUCUAAAAAUUAUCUUAUAUAUGAAUGUGUUCUUCAUUCAAUAAUAUUUUAUUGAUGCCGAGUAACAAACGCGUUGAGAAAAGUAAAAUAAAAGAGUACCGAUAUUUAGACACCUCCAUUUGCAUUGCUCUAGAAUACAUCCCUCUGACGUGGCGAUUUUAAUAUUAAACAAAUAGUGUGUGGGUCCCAGUUGCUGAGGUGGAAAAAUUGAAACGAAAAUUGCAUUUGAAGAGUGCAUU